UACAGAGGGUGCAAGCGUUGUUCGGAAUUAUUGGGCGUAAAGGGCAGGUAGGUGGUCCCAAAAGUCUACUGUGAAAUCCCUGGGCCUUAACCCAGGAACUGCGGUGGAUACUCUGGGACUUGAGUGGCCGGAGGGGUGCGUGGAAUUCCCGGUGUACGCGGUGAAAUGCGUAGAUAUCGAGAGGAACAGCCUGCGGCGAAGGCGGGUCUCUGGCCGAUGACUGACGCUGGAGGAGCGAAAGCGUGGGAGCGAACAGGA
rnacentral:rRNA from 1 species